rnacentral:rRNA from 1 species
UUCGCCCUUUUCCGGUUGAUCCCGCCGGACCUGACUACUAUCGGAUUGAUACUAAGCCAUGCGAGUCAUUGUAGCAAUACAAGGCAUACGGCUCAGUAACGCGUAGUCAACCUAACCUAUGGACGGGAAUAACCUCGGGAAACUGAGAAUAAUGCCCGAUAGAACACUAUACCUGGAAUGGUUUGUGUUCCAAAUGAUUUAUCGCCGUAGGAUGGGACUGCGGCCUAUCAGUUUGUUGGUGAGGUAAUGGCCCACCAAGACUAUUACAGGUACGGGCUCUGAGAGGAGUAGCCCGGAGAUGGGUACUGAGACACGGACCCAGGCCCUAUGGGGCGCAGCAGGCGAGAAAACUUUGCAAUGUGCGAAAGCACGACAAGGUUAAUCCGAGUGAUUUGUGCUAAACGAAUCUUUUGUUAGUCCUAGAACCACUAACGAAUAAGGGGUGGGCAAGUUCUGGUGUCAGCCGCCGCGGUAAAACCAGCACCUCAAGUGGUCAGGAUGAUUAUUGGGCCCAAAGCAUCCGUAGCCGGCUCUGUAAGUUUUCGGUUAAAUCUGUACGCUUAACGUACAGGCUGCCGGGGAUACUGCAGAGCUAGG